GACGAACGCUGGCGGCGUGCUUAACACAUGCAAGUCGAACGAUGAAGAAGAGAAACGCGAACUUCGGUUCAAAUUUCACUUCGGAUUAGUGGCAGACGGGCGAGUAACGCGUGAGCAACCUACCUCUUACAAAGGGAUAGCCUCGGGAAACCGUGAUUAAUACCAUAUGACACAUUCAUAAGGCAUCUUAAGAAUGUUAAAGCUACGGGGGUAAGAGAUGGGCUCGCGUCCCAUUAGCUAGUGGGUGAGGUAACGGCCCACCAAGGCGACGAGGGGUAACCGGCCUGAGAGAGUGAACGGUCACAUUGGAACUGAGACACGGUCCAAACUCCUACGAGAGGCGGCAGAGGGGAAUAUUGCACAGUGGAGGGAACUCUGAUGCAGCGACGCCGCGUGAGCGAUGAAGGAAUUCGUUUCGUAAAGCUCUGUUCUAUGGGAAGAAAGGGACUGUACCAUAGGAGAAAGCCCCGGCUAAAUACGUG
rnacentral:rRNA from 1 species